rnacentral:rRNA from 1 species
UAGGAAAUCUUCCACAAUGGACGAAAGUCUGAUGGAGCAACGCCGCGUGAGUGAAGAAGGGUUUCGGCUCGUAAAACUCUGUUGUUAAAGAAGAACAUAUCUGAGAGUAACUGUUCAGGUAUUGACGGUAUUUAACCAGAAAGCCACGGCUAACUACGUGCCAG